UACGAAGGGGGGCUAGCGUUGUUCGGAAUUACUGGGCGUAAAGGGCGCGCAGGCGGCCCUCCAAGUCAGGCGUGAAAGCCCCGGGCUCAACCCGGGAAUAGCGCUUGAGACUGGGGGGCUUGAGUUCGGGAGAGGAGAGUGGAAUUCCCAGUGUAGAGGUGAAAUUCGUAGAUAUUGGGAAGAACACCGGUGGCGAAGGCGGCUCUCUGGACCGACACUGACGCUGAGGCGCGAAAGCGUGGGGAGCAAACAGG
rnacentral:rRNA from 1 species